UACGUAGGGGGCAAGCGUUGUCCGGAUUUAUUGGGCGUAAAGAGCGCGUAGGCGGCCAGAUAAGUCCGGUGUGAAAGUCACAGGCUCAACCUGUGAAUGCCGCUGGAAACUGUCUGGCUAGAGUCCGGGAGGGGCGAGUGGAAUUCCAGGUGUAGCGGUGAAAUGCGUAGAUAUCUGGAGGAACACCGGUGGCGAAGGCGGCAUCCUGGACCAAUAUUGACGCUGAGGAGCGAAAGCCAGGGGAGCAAAGCGGG
rnacentral:rRNA from 1 species